AACGUAGGACGCAAGCGUUAUCCGGAGUUACUGGGCGUAAAGCGCGGGCAGGCGGCCUCGCAAGUCUGAUGUGAAAGCACUCUGCUCAACAGAGUGAUGCCAUUGGAAACUACAAGGCUGGAGUCUGGCAGAGGUAGGCGGAAUUCCGGGUGGAGUGGUGAAAUGCGUAGAGAUCCGGAGGAACACCAGAGGCGAAGGCGGCCUACUGGGCCAGUACUGACGCUGAGCCGCGAAAGCUAGGGGAGCGAACGGG
rnacentral:rRNA from 2 species